CAAAUCCUCUUUAUCUCCUUCUCCUACUUGAGCUAGCUCGAUCUCCAAUGAUGAUAUAAUAGAUCUCUGCAACGAAAAAUUGUCAUCGGUAAGGGCAAAAGCAAGGAGAGGAUUAGGAAGAGAUCGGGAAGUGAAAGCGAAGAAGAGGCUAAGAAGGUUCCAUCAUUCGCCUCAGCAAAUCUGACUGAUUUCGUCGAUAAGAAAGCUGACACGUCACCAACACAUCGGUGCAGACAAAGCUCGCAUCUUAGCCUUGGAUAUGUGGGCUACUCACUUCAACAGUCCAACAAGGUUGGAGAUCAAAGAGAAGAAUCCAGGAGCUUGGAAAUGGUUCGAUCAAAUCACCAUAUAGAACAGCUCGAAUAGCCA